rnacentral:rRNA from 1 species
UACGUAGGGUGCAAGCGUUAAUCGGAAUUACUGGGCGUAAAGCGUGCGCAGGCGGUUAUGUAAGACAGGUGUGAAAUCCCCGGGCUUAACCUGGGAACUGCAUUUGUGACUGCAUAGCUAGAGUACGGUAGAGGGGGAUGGAAUUCCGCGUGUAGCAGUGAAAUGCGUAGAGAUGUGGAGGAACACCGAUGGACGAAGGCAGCCCCUGGGCCAAUACUGACGCUCGAUGCACGAAAGCGUGGGGAGCAAACACGG